AUCUCUUCUCAGACUUCCGACUGAGAUCAAGUAUAGUAGCUGUUCUUAUCAGUUCAACAGUUGAGAUAUGGCAUGAAAUCUAGGUAGGAAAUUCAAACAAUAAACAAACCCCAAAUGUUGGUUUUGUCUUUGCUUCAGUUGCUUCCAUUACUGUUGCUAAGUCAGGUAAGUGCAUC
rnacentral:snRNA from 1 species